ACGGCAGUGGUCUAGUGGUAUGAUCUGAGCUUCCCAAGCUUAUGGUCCGGGUUCGAUUCCCGGCUGCCGUA
rnacentral:tRNA from 1 species